rnacentral:lncRNA from 1 species
AUGCACUACAACAGGAUAGACAUAAAAUAUAUUUGUUUUACCUAUUUAGCUAUAAACUGCUGCUUUAAAUAUUCUAGGACUGUUGUGUGUAUAGCAAACUACAGCUACUCCACCAGUCUGGAGACCACACUACUCAGGGAGAGCUUCUGUGAGCGAAUGGAAAUGCGGCUCCAGCCCAAACUCCCUGAUCAGUCGAGCAUUUCGUGCAGCACUCCACUCUCCAAAAAGAAGAAAAGAAAAAGAGGAAUGAAGUGA